rnacentral:rRNA from 2 species
AGUGACCUCAGGUCAGGCGG